rnacentral:rRNA from 1 species
AUGAACGCUGGCGGCGUGCCUAAUACACGCAAGUCGAGCGAACGGACGAGAAGCUUGCUUCUCUGAUGUUAGCGGCGGACGGGUGAGUAACACGUGGAUAACCUACCUAUAAGACUGGGAUAACUUCGGGAAACCGUAGCUAAUACCGGAUAAUAUUUUGAACCGCAUGGUUCAAAAGUGAAAGACGGUCUUGCUGUCACUUAUAGAUGGAUCCGCGCUGCAUUAGCUAGUUGGUAAGGUAACGGCUUACCAAGGCAACGAUGCAUAGCCGACCUGAGAGGGUGAUCGGCCACACUGGAACUGAGACACGGUCCAGACUCCUACGGGAGGCAGCAGUAGGGAAUCUUCCGCAAUGGGCGAAAGCCUGACGGAGCAACGCCGCGUGAGUGAUGAAGGUCUUCGGAUCGUAAAACUCUGUUAUUAGGGAAGAACAUAUGUGUAAGUAACUGUGCACAUCUUGACGGUACCUAAUCAGAAAGCCACGGCUAACUACGUG